UAGUCCCGCCCGCGUCGCCCGCCAGCCCCGGGACAGCCCGCCUGGCGCGCGGGGCUCUGCGCGCUGCGACCCUCCCCGGCAGUCCCGCCCGCCUCUCCUCGCCCUCUCUCUGCCUGGCCUCCAACUUUGCCUCUCGCUAUCCUCUCCGCCGGCGCCCCCUUUCCCGGCGGUCCCCGGGAUGGUCCCCGGCACCCCGAGGACGCCGAGGUUACGGGAAGUUCGGGGACUGGCGGGAGAAGGGGUUUGGGGGUGGUCCGCGGCGAGGGGCGCGGGGUGCAUCUUCUCUUCCUUUUAUCUUUGAACACCGCCUCCCACCCCGCGGGAAGUGCGGGCUUGGUUUGUACCGCGGUGACCCCCGCCCCCUCCGAAGCCGCAGAGCCGGGGCCUCGCGCCAGCAGGGCUGGAGAUGCCUUCUUGGCGGCUGAGUUUAUUUAUUAUAGGAAGUCAUUCGCUCGUGGGGUAUUUAUGUGAUUUGGCGAGUGAUGUGCCCGGCCAGCGCCCUCCUUGGCUGCAGCCCCGCAGGAGGACCCGGAGUAGGGUGGGAUGGAGUGGGUCGUGGGAGGAGCGCGUCAGCGCCUGCCCGGGGACCCCCAGCUCCCGCGAGGACACGGAGGCGCGCACGCCGCUCGGUUUUCCUGGAAAGUGGAGAAGGAGCGUCCUGGGCAGGUCCUCUGAGCUCAUCCCCCCUCGGAUUGGGGCGGGUCUGUGACGGGGUCACUUAGGACACGACGUCCCCCCGCCAUUCCCUUCCCCCGCCCAGGGCGUUCGCGGUGGGCGCCCACCGCCAAGCCCCACUGUUCCCAAGGAUGCGCCAGGUGCUUCCCGUAGCGUCCUGGGUUGACCCUUAAAAAAACAGCACCCCUAGGAGGUGGCCGGCCCUCUCCUCCCAGGGUCUCUCCGGGUCACGAUCUUCCAAAGUUCGGAAACUCGCAGGAUCGCGUGUGCAAUCUCCCGCUACCUCCCGGGGGGCCGGGGAGAGGUCAGAGGAGCGAGUCCCGCGUCCACCGGCCUCGCUUGCCCCCUGCCCGUUUGAGGAUAGUUCCAGGGAGCAGGGUGGAGUGUGCGGACAUCUUUGGAGGCAGUGCUGGGGCUUCCCGCGUUGGCGGCGCUCCACCCGGCGUGGGGGGCGGCUGCACGGGCCCCCGCGGUGGGGACGCUGCGCACGGGGCAAGGUCUCCCUAGGAAGCGCCCGGGAAGGAGAUGGGGCCCGCCAGGAACCCCCCUCACUGACCAGCUUUCUGCACGCCGUGCAGGAGGGGGCCACUUCCUCGGAGAGUAUUGGCUUUUAAUUAAAACAAGCCCUACAAUUUUUACAUCGCUGAGUGGGUCAGCUCAUCACAGGCCUGCGGCCCCUGCAUGGGUGACAGAGGAGGCAAAGAUGACACAGAGAAACUAUCCCUUCAGGGACAGAGUGGGGACACCCACGAGCUUGGCUCUGCCUUACAAAGAAAUGAGAAGGAACCCCGUUCCUGCUUUUCACCUUAGGGCUGCCACACUUGUGUAUCCCUUCUUCCUUGAAUUUAACCAGGAGUGAGCAGUGGACAGCUUCUUCCCUAUGAGAAGGAGGUGAAGCAGGACCUGAAAUCCCGUGCUCAGCUCCCACAUGCCCCGUGUCCAGGACAAGUCCUUUGCUGAAUCAGCGGCAGACACCACCCGGAGCCCUGCGGGAGCCUUUCCCUGUUCUUCCAGCAUGGAUCUGAAACUCCCUUCCCACUUUCUGCAGCCUCCCAGAGAUAGUUCAGGCUCCAGCCUCAUGUGAUAGCAUGAAGAGAAACUGGUUCCAACAGCUGUGUGCUCUGCUGCCCUCAUCCCAAACAACAGUUUAAAUGCACAAUUACGCUUUUCUCUAAGGCCCAAAAUAGGAUAGGAAAGAUCGUUUUGCUAUCCCUGAAUGCCUGUCACCCUUGUUUCGUAAGGUAAGAUUGGGAAGGGCUUGGCCAUUGCCCUUGCAGCUGAGAAACCAACUUUAGGAAUAAAGACACUCUCUCCAUGUCUGCAGGAAGUCAGUCCCAGAAUAGUUGUUCUGCUCCCUCCCUUCUAAUAAGUGCUGCGCUGAGUGUGCUUGCUUUGCCAGAUGGUUAAAACAGAGCAGGGGAUAGAAGGACAGAUGUCUUCACCCUCAUGGAGUUCACCUUCCAGUAGGAGGAGGCGAUAGGCCGGGGUCUGCACAUGUGCGUGCUACAGCCUGUUCCACGGUGCGUGGCGUGCGGGGCAGUAGAGACAGGAUUUCACCAUGUUGGCUAGGAUGGUCUCGAUCUCCUGACCUUGUGAUCCGCCCCUCCCUCAGCCUCCCAAAGUGCUGGGAUUACAGGCGUGAGCCACUGCACCCUGCCAGAAAACUCAUUCUUCUACUCCAUCCUACAGUUUUCCCUAAGAGAGAAACAAUAAAACGCCACCACGACCAAUGGCAAAAAGCUGGCACCCACUCCACGACUUUUCAUAUCUACACGUUUGUACAGCUUUAUUUUUAAGCAUUCUGAAAUUCUAUGCAGGAGAGACCCCAGCUAGGUUUAGGGAGUCCUAGGGUUUGUGGAGUAAAUGAAGUUUCUCCCUAGAAUUAGGGAGGGUAGAGACAGGCAGAGAACUGACAAUCCUAACAGCUGCUGUCCUCAGAGCCACUGUUUCUGAGAGCUGCUCGCUGAGUGCUUCUAGCGAGUUAAAUGGUGUUCGCCCAAAAGACCUGUUCACGUCCUGAUCCUGGGAACCUGUGGCUGUGAUCUUAUUUGGAAAAAGCUCUACAUUACGUCUUUGCAGAAGUAAUCAUGUUAAGGAUCUUGAGAGGACGUGACCCUGAAUUAUCCGGCUGUGCUUGACAUCCAAUGACUGGUGAUGUUGUAAGAGAAAGACGGAGGGAGAUGUAAGAUAUGAGAGAAGGCCACGCCGAGACUGGAGUGAUGUGGCCGUGAGCCGAGGAAUGCCUGGAGCCACCAGAAGCUGGCAAAGGCAGAAGGAGCCUCCUCUGGACCCUGUGGUGGGUACGCAGCCUGGCAGAUAUAUUCAUUUUGGACUUCUGGCCUCCAGGGCUGUGAGAGAAUACAUUUCUGCAGUUUUAAGCCACGCAAUCUGUGUCCCUGGGAAGCCCAAAUAGGGCGAGACCUUUUGCCAAGUGGUCUCCAAGUGUCACGUCAUCGAAUCCUUCUCCCGGGCUUGUGCCAUAGUCUUUCCACUUUAGAGAGGAGGAAACGGAGGCUCUGGGGCACAAAGCCAGUCAGUGGCGGGGCCUGACUUUCAACCCAGCCUGCAUGGGGUCAGAGAACCCACUUUCCCCGUGGGGCCUGCGGCCUAUGCUAAGGAUGCUUGUUCAUCUCUCCUGGGCCCGGGAGUGGUUCUUCUGGCCUAGAAGGCAAGAGAAGCCAGUCUUUCGGUUUCAAGGUUUCCCAUUAGUGGAGUCAAGCAAAAAUGGUGUGUUGCGCUUCUUCCUGAGCUCAGCCUGGGAGCACGGCCUUAACAUGCUCAGUGGAUCCCAAGACGGCAGCAUGGCGGUGCCAGCCUGGCAGCCUUAGCUCCUUGCAGCUGUGCUUGUGAAGGGAGCAGUGAGUGGCUUCCCUCUGUGACCACCUUGGGUCCUAAGUUUCACUGGGGCUGGGAUCCAUGCGUCUUGCAAUUGGCUAGGAAUUUCCCGGGCUUUCCCUCCCUUCCCUGUUCAGGGCACUGGGUGUGAGGCAUUGCAUCCGUUCUUCUGCUCACCUGCUUCCCCCUAAGAGUGUGAGCUGUAUAAAGGCAGGAACCAAACAGGAGCCUCCACGUGUUCCCAGUUCAAGGGCAGUGUCCCUUGUGUGUUUCUUCAAUAAUUCAGUGGAUGACUUAUUCUGCACGGACACUGCACACACUCGGCCCUGCCGUCUCCGGAGCUGGGAGGUGUGGAGCUGGCUCCUGACCUAUUUACACACUGAGGAGGGAUGUGGAAAACAGGAGGAGUCCCAGGGCUCCAAUGCAAAGAGGAGCCUCUUCAUUCCCUCUGCCGUGGCCGUGCAAGGGACAGCGCCUUGUGGGAUUGUGUCCUCCACCCAAUUAUCCUUAGCAUUAGUUUGCUAAGGAUAAUGGCCUCCAGCUCCACCCAUGUCCCUGCAAAGGACAUGAUCUCAUUCCUUUCUGUGUCUGCAUAGUAUUCCAUGGUGUAUAUGUACCGCGUUUUCUUUAUCGAGUCUAUCAUUGAUGGGCGCUUCAGUUGAUUCCAUGUCUUUGCUACUGUGACUCGUGCUGCAAUGAGCAUUCGCGUGCAUGCCUUUAUGGUGGAAUUAUUUCUAUUCCUUUGGGUGCAUACCCAGUCAUGGGAUUGCUGGGUCAAAUGGCAUUUCUGCCUCUAGGUCUUUAAGGAAUUGCCACGCUGUCUUCCACAAUGCAAGCAAGACGUUAUUGAAAGUGUAAAGGGGGCUGCUAAUUACGCUGGGGCAGGCGGGGCAAACCAGGACCCUGCCAGGCGAGUCUAGGCCAUGGCCCCACACCAGAAGAUGAGGGCUGGAGACUCCUGGAGAGGAAUCUGAGUGGCGAGACCACCUGCAUUCAUUAUGUGUCAACUCUGCCAGGUGACAGUCCCCAGUGAGCCCAUCAAACAUGAACCUAGGUGCUGUUGGGAAGGUCUUUGGAUGCCAUUAACAUCUACAAUCAGUUGGUUUUCAGUAGAGGAGAUUAUCCUCAAGAAUGUGGGCGGGCCUCAUCCAGUGAGCUGAAAGGCCUUGAGAGCAGAACUAGGAUUUUGGAGGAGGAUGAAGUGUUGCCUCCGGACCGCAGCGUCACCUCUUGCCUGGGAAUUUCCAGCUUCCUUUUCAGACUUCGGACUUGCCUCCAAGCUCCCUGAAUCUUUUCAUAUAUUUAUGUCCUAUUGCAGAUUGUGUUUCUCUGGCUGGACUGUAACUGAUGAGGAGGACUGAAAUUCCAGGCUUGGUUGUAUAGCAUAUAAGUGAGGUCAUUUGGGUCUGGGGAGCUGGGGGGGGGGUCCUUCAGCUGCAUGAGUGUGACCUGCACCAAGGUGCCUGGCUACCUGGGGCGAGGGGGCUGCCAUCUAGCCCACACCCCACUCCUAGGCCGUGCACCCUGGCAUGGGUCUAUGUCUGGCUCAAGGAAGGGUUCCCUCCUCCCUCCAAUGUGCACAGAGACCUUGAGAUCCCAUCCACCUAACCCUGUGCCCUCAGAAGCCUCCUCUGAGAGGGGGCACCUUUUCCUAAUUCUCACAAAGGCUAGUGGCUACCUUGUAGAUAGCCUUGGAUGUGUUAGGACACUUUUCUGAACAUCAGUUCCUUAUCUGUAAGAUGGGAGUUGUGUCCUCAAUGGGUAAUUAGAGAUUAUUCAUGGGAAAUCCUAUCACGGUAUCUACCACGGGGAGACUCACAAGUGCUGAUCUUUGCUGGUGUUGCUGCAUUUGUUAUUGAAUGCAUUCGUUAGGAGUCUUGUUAGUAAGUGACAAAAAUCCAACUCAAAUUGGCUUACACUAAACAAGUUUCCUGCAUCUGGGAGUAUAAAGGGU
rnacentral:lncRNA from 1 species